GUGCUCUCACUUCAGCAACACAUAUACUAAAAUUGGAACAAUACAGAGAAGAUUAUCAUGGCCCCUGUGCAAGGAUGACAGGCAAAUUCAUGAAACAUUCCAUAUUUUU
rfam:Pteropus alecto contig167001, whole genome shotgun sequence.